rnacentral:rRNA from 1 species
ACUCCUACGGGAGGCAGCAGUGGGGAAUUUUGGACAAUGGGCGCAAGCCUGAUCCAGCAAUGCCGCGUGUGUGAAGAAGGCCUUCGGGUUGUAAAGCACUUUUGUCCGGAAAGAAAACCUCGUGGUUAAUACCCGUGGGGGAUGACGGUA